GCAUUGGUAGUGCAAUGGUUAGCACGCCCCCCUGGAAAAGUGAAAUGCGGGUUUGAAUCCCGCAUGACGUU